GCUCACCAGCCGACACCCUUUUCUUCCUCCCUCUCGGUUCCACUGUGCAACACAAAAAAAAAGAAGAACAGUUUUCAACUCUCUCUCUCUCUCUCCCUCGUCUUAAUACAGCCGGCUCCGGCAACCGGAGCCAACUCCGGCGACGAAACAAACAGCGGUGGUUGUUCCAGCCGCGACAUCCCCAAACACCUCACCCACUCCCCCCGACCUACGCGAUUCCGACACCACCCUCCGACGAAGAUUUGCGGCGGUGGCGAAGCUGGUUUCUCACGACAGUGGUGGGUUCAGUUUGGUGCGAGUUCGGGACUCCGGUCAACUUUUGCGACACGAUCGGUUCGGGUCAGAUUUCAUGUUCAGGUUGUUAGACAAGACGAUGAAGAAAUCAAGUUAGGAUGGACUUAGAUACCCAUUUUAGCAAUUAAACAAUGUUCGAAUCUAUGUUUAUUAUUUGAGACAAUGUAUUUCUUUCUUAGUUUUAAUAAAAUGAUUUAAUUCAUAUUGUCACAUUUAGUGUUAAGUUGUUUUGAGCAAUUUGUGCGUCUCAUCCCGAUGUUUCCGCCAUCGGUUGGGGUGUGACAAACACGGCCUCGUGUCUCUAUUCCAGUAACAAGAAAACAGCUCUUCCCAGAUGCUGUAGGUCUGACACGACCCCAUGUUGAUCAAACACGGCCCCGUGUUAUUCCUGCAGAAAGUAGAAAAAUG
rnacentral:lncRNA from 1 species